CCAGUAACGGCGAGUGAAGCGGCAACAGCUCAAAUUUGAAAUCUGGCUCUCGGGCCCGAGUUGUAAUUUGUAGAGGAUGCUUUUGGUGAGGUGCCUUCCGAGUUCCCUGGAACGGGACGCCAUAGAGGGUGAGAGCCCCGUCUGGUUGGACACCGAUCCUCUGUAAAGCUCCUUCGACGAGUCGAGUAGUUUGGGAAUGCUGCUCUAAAUGGGAGGUAUAUGUCUUCUAAAGCUAAAUACCGGCCAGAGACCGAUAGCGCACAAGUAGAGUGAUCGAAAGAUGAAAAGAACUUUGAAAAGAGAGUUAAAAAGUACGUGAAAUUGUUGAAAGGGAAGCGCUUGUGACCAGACUUGGGCUUGGUUGAUCAUCCGGGGUUCUCCCCGGUGCACUCUUCCGGCUCAGGCCAGCAUCAGUUCGCCCUGGGGGAUAAAGGCUUCGGGAAUGUGGCUCUCUCCGGGGAGUGUUAUAGCCCGCUGCGUAAUACCCUGUGGCGGACUGA
rnacentral:rRNA from 1 species